GACGAACGCUGGCGGCGCGCCUAAUACAUGCAAGUCGAACGCUUCUUUUUCCACCGGAGCUUGCUCCACCGGAAAAAGAGGAGUGGCGAACGGGUGAGUAACACGUGGGUAACCUGCCCAUCAGAAGGGGAUAACACUUGGAAACAGGUGCUAAUACCGUAUAACAAUCGAAACCGCAUGGUUUUGAUUUGAAAGGCGCUUUCGGGUGUCGCUGAUGGAUGGACCCGCGGUGCAUUAGCUAGUUGGUGGGGUAACGGCUCACCAAGGCCACGAUGCAUAGCCGACCUGAGAGGGUGAUCGGCCACAUUGGGACUGAGACACGGCCCAAACUCCUACGGGAGGCAGCAGUAGGGAAUCUUCGGCAAUGGACGAACGUCUGACCGAGCAACGCCGCGUGAGUGAAGAAGGUUUUCGGAUCGUAAAACUCUGUUGUUAGAGAAGAACGAGGAUGAGAGUAACUGUUCACCCCUUGACGGUAUCUAACCAGAAAGCCACGGCUAACUACGUGCCAGCCGCCGCGGUAA
rnacentral:rRNA from 1 species